CCGCUGUAAACAGAAUGAAUUGGCGUAUCAUUUGCUAUGCUAGAUAAUUUUGAUAUCGGAUACAUGAAAAGCAGUAUGUUAAUAGCCAUGUCAUCACUCGUAUUAAAUGUGGUGAAAGCUUUCAGUACAAUGCUUAACAUUCCUAUUUCCUAAUAUAGCCAUGUCUACUAAGUGUUAUCCAAUCUAUCUUCUUAAUUGCCUUGGCUGAUUGCAGAUCAUGCAAAUCAUUUCACUAGUGCCAAGAACACAUCUUAAGCUGAAACUGCAGUAUCAAGUUCUUCAAUUACCAAUUUGCCCAAGUUAGGCAGAUGCUAAAAGAUGCAUGUUCAGUGAAUUGUUCAAUUGGAAAAGUUGUGGCAUUGUUGAGAUCUCUCAUUACCGAAAUAGGUAAUUGUAUGAGCAACGAGGAAUUCCAAGCACGUCUGCACAUGGUACAAAAUCAAUUAUUCUGCACCUCAGAACACAAUGCUAUCGACAUUUUCAAGUGACAUCCAUCUACUCUGUAAAUGAGUUCUUCAUGGUCUCCUUCAGGGCAGAGAAAUCUUAUUAGAAGGGGGUGUACGGGCACCUGUUAACUUCGGAAAUAACUCUGUAUAUAUAGAGAGAAGUAUCGAUUACCCCUGAACUUGUCACGUUUUAUUCACAAUACACUUGAACUUUGACUAGUCCUAAGUACCUCCGAAUUUGUUCUUUUAG